GACGAACGCUGGCGGCGUGCUUAACACAUGCAAGUCGAACGAAAAGAGGGAAAGAGCUUGCUCUUUCCGGAAUUGAGUGGCAAACGGGUGAGUAACACGUAAACAACCUGCCUUCAGGAUGGGGACAACAGACGGAAACGACUGCUAAUACCGAAUAAGUUCCAAGGGCCGCAUGGCCCAUGGAAGAAAAGGUGGCCUCUACCUGUAAGCUAUCGCCUGAAGAGGGGUUUGCGUCUGAUUAGCUGGUUGGAGGGGUAACGGCCCACCAAGGCGACGAUCAGUAGCCGGUCUGAGAGGAUGAACGGCCACACUGGAAUUGAGACACGGUCCAGACUCCUACGGGAGGCAGCAGUGGGGAAUCUUCCGCAAUGGGCGAAAGCCUUACGGAGCAACGCCGCGUGAGUGAUGACGGCCUUCGGGUUGUAAAACUCUGUGAUCCGGGACGAAAAGGCAGAGUGCGAAGAACAAACUGCAUUGACGGUACCGGAAAAGCAAGCCACGGCUAACUACGUG
rnacentral:rRNA from 1 species